CCACAUUUGAUUUCUGGGCCUUUGUCCCUUGGUGUAUUAGUCAUCUACUGCUGCAUAAUAAGUCACCCCAAAACUUGGCAGCUUAGCGUGGUUGACAUUUGUCAUGUCCCACCAUUUCCAAUGGUCAGGAGUAGUACAGGAGCAGGUUAGCUGGGUGGUUCUGGCUCUCAAGCUGCCCUCAGGCUGUCUGCUGGGGCGGGAUCUUCUGUUUCCCAGCUCACAACCUUAGUCAUGGGCAGGAGGCCUCCAUUCUAGUCUUUUAUAACGUAAUUUCAGAAGUGUUGUGCUAUCACGUCGGCCACAUGUCAUUGGUCACAGAAACCAACUCCAUUUGGGAGGGACAGCAUGGGUGAGCCUAGCAGGAGAUGGGCUCCUCAGGCCGUCUGGGAGGCAGAGAACAGCAUCUGACCCUACGGGGCACUUGGCGAUCAAGGAACAGGUCAGUGGGUGAGGGUUCUUGUUUUAGGCCCUUUUCAAUGGUGUGAUGAACAGAUGGACACACACAAGUAAUAACCACAAGCAAUGGUGUUUUAGCUUUGUCAACGGAGAUUUUUUCCACAGACACGUUGUGACCUGGUGCUCCAACUCCAGCACCAGCAAUGAAGAGCAGUGGCAUUUCUUACCACUAAUGAUCACUGUUUCUUGUUUCCUCAGCUUCCCUGGGAUCUGCUUCCCAAAGAUUUGGUUCACAGAGUACUUCAGUUCCACAAGGGUACGUUCCUAAAACAUCACUGAGUUCACCACCUUGGCCAGAAGUUGUCCUGCCAGACCCAGCUGAGGAGACCAGACACCAUGCAGGGGCCCUGAGACUCAGCACGGUGUGAAUGCUCAGGCUCGUUUUUGCCACUUGACACAGAUUCAAACCCUCGCGAGCACCAGCCACAGUCCAAGCAGGCAGUGUAAGCAAGGGAGGACCCCCGGCUCCACCUAUGUCCACGCUGUUGGUGGAAACACAGUGGCAGGAAAAGAUUUCUCCGCCAUCAGAAGAACCAUGUGCAUGGUGGUCAGUAGGUGUGGGUGCAGCCUGGGAGUUGGAGAAACUCGGGGUGUCAGGAUUCCUGUCGACCCAGAGCGUGUCCCGUGAGGAGGGACAAUGUGGCCGGCCACCGUUGCCACGAGGGAGCGCGGUGUCCUCUGCCUUACUAGGCUGGAAACGCAGGUCAGCGCGUGGCAUCUUCUGGUUUUAAAGUACCGUUGAGAUGUGGUGCCAGAUAAACAGUGCUCUGCCCUUUCUCCGGGCGCAGCUCGGGCCUGACUCUUUCCAGGGCAGGCACCGUGCACUCCUGUCCCAGCACCCAGCCUCAGGCC